UGGGGAAUAUUGGACAAUGGGCGAAAGCCUGAUCCAGCCAUGCCGCGUGUGUGAAGAAGGUCUUCGGAUUGUAAAGCACUUUAAGUUGGGAGGAAGGGCAGUAAGCGAAUACCUUGCUGUUUUGACGUUACCGACAGAAUAAGCACCGGCUAACUCUGUGCCAGCAGCCGCGGUAAUACAGAGGGUGCAAGCGUUAAUCGGAAUUACUGGGCGUAAAGCGCGCGUAGGUGGUUCGUUAAGUUGAAUGUGAAAGCCCCGGGCUCAACCUGGGAACUGCAUCCAAAACUGGCGAGCUAGAGUAGGGCAGAGGGUGGUGGAAUUUCCUGUGUAGCGGUGAAAUGCGUGGAUAUAGGAAGGAACACCAGUGGCGAGGGCGACCACCUGGGCUCAUACUGACACUGAGGUGCGAAAGCGUGGGGAGCAAACAGG
rnacentral:rRNA from 1 species